rnacentral:rRNA from 1 species
CGGGUAGCUAUGUACGGAAGGGAUAACCGCUGAAAGCAUCUAAGCGGGAAGCCCCUCCUGAAAUGAGGUCUCACCGGGAACUUGAUUCCCCUGAAGGGCCCUGGAAGACGACCAGGUUGAUAGGCUGGGUGUGGAAGUUCAGCAAUGAAUGAAGCUAACCAGUACUAAUUGCCCGUGAGGCUUGACCAU